rnacentral:misc_RNA from 1 species
UUUUUUUUUAUUAUUUUUUUAAAUAGCUAACUAUAAAUGAAAUGGAGAGAUAGAGAGACAGGCUGCUGUGAAGAUACCCAAGGUUUUGGAGACAAAAAAAUAACACUGAGGGCUACUGUUGGCCUUUUGACAGAGGAGAAGAAGAAACCCAGAGGUUGGGUCAGGGUUGGGAUGUCUCCCCGGCCUUAGGCGAGUCGUUUGGUGCAAGAUUUGACAAAAGGGGACGUUGGGAAACACUCCACGAGCCAGUGCAUGUGAUGCUGUUGGUAUGGCUGUGGUGAAACGUGGAGACUAACGGUUUGGAUUUUGGUGCAGGCUUUCUGGGUUCUGACUCGUCGUCGGUUGAUGAAGUGUUUUGGACUAGUGUUAUAGUCCACCUUGUUUUGACAGAUGGUCAACAAACAUUGAUAGGGCAAUUUUGAAUAGUGUAGAAGUGUAGUGGAAGAAAAGAAAAAUUAGGCCUUUUUAUACUCUGAUACCAUGAAAAAUGGAAGAGAGAUGAGAAUUUUGGGGAAUAAUUGCUUGAUUAUCCCCUUAAGCUAUGGGGUGUGUAUACGUACACAUUUUUGGUCAUCCUAAAAGGAAAAUAUACAAAAUGGCCCUAAUCAAG